UGGGGAAUAUUGCACAAUGGGCGCAAGCCUGAUGCAGCCAUGCCGCGUGUGUGAAGAAGGCCUUCGGGUUGUAAAGUACUUUCAGUCGGGAGGAAGGUGGUAAGGUUAAUAACCUUAUCAAUUGACGUUACCGACAGAAGAAGCACCGGCUAACUCCGUGCCAGCAGCCGCGGUAAUACGGAGGGUGCAAGCGUUAAUCGGAAUUACUGGGCGUAAAGCGCACGCAGGCGGUUGAUUGAGUCAGAUGUGAAAUCCCCGGGCUUAACCCGGGAAUUGCAUCUGAUACUGGUCAGCUAGAGUCUUGUAGAGGGGGGUAGAAUUCCAUGUGUGGCGGUGAAAUGCGUAGAGAUGUGGAGGAGUACCGGUGGCGAGGGCGGCCCCCUGGACAAAGACUGACACUCAGGUGCGAAAGAGUGGGGAGCAAACAGG
rnacentral:rRNA from 1 species